rnacentral:lncRNA from 1 species
GCGUGAGGUAUAGGGUGGGUUCUAGGGUUUCAACUCUAGAUUUUGUAAGAAAAAAAAUACAAGAGUGAAUCUUAUUCAAUCUCUUACAACACCACCUUCUUAUAAAGCUUCAUCUUCUAAUUUAGAGGAGUCUAGAAGAUCCAAAGAAAGAAAUUUGGAUCAGCCAUUCAGAACCUUCGAUGCGAGCUAGCACUCCCAUGAAAGAAGAUCUGAUUAUGGCUUCAAGUGGAUGAUCUGUAGAGGCUGGACGAUCUGUGCGGCUACUCGACAUCAGUGAGAGCUUCAUACC